rnacentral:rRNA from 1 species
UACGUAGGCAGCAAGCGUUGCUCGGAAUCACUGGGCGUAAAGGGUGCGUAGGCGGGUCUUUAAGUCAGGGGUGAAAUCCUGGAGCUCAACUCCAGAACUGCCUUUGAUACUGAGGAUCUUGAGUUCGGGAGAGGUGAGUGGAACUGCGAGUGUAGAGGUGAAAUUCGUAGAUAUUCGCAAGAACACCAGUGGCGAAGGCGGCUCACUGGCCCGAUACUGACGCUGAGGCACGAAAGCGUGGGGAGCAAACAGG